GGCUGGGUAACACAAUGGCAAUGUAUCGGACUGCAAAUCCCGGAAGGUUCGACUCCGUCCUUGGCCU
rnacentral:tRNA from 1 species